UGUGGUGUGGGGUAAAUAGGCAACCUACCCGGCUGUUACCCGGGAGAUGGUGGUUCGAGUCCACCCGCCACAG
rnacentral:tRNA from 1 species